rnacentral:rRNA from 1 species
CCUACGGGAGGCAGCAGUGAGGAAUAUUGGUCAAUGGGCGAGAGCCUGAACCAGCCAAGUCGCGUGAAGGAUGACGGCCCUACGGGUUGUCAACUUCUUUUGUCAGGGAGCAAUUGGGUCCACGCGUGGGCUUAGCGCGAGUACCUGAAGAAAAAGCAUCGGCUAACUCCGUGCCAGCAGCGGCGGUAAUACGGAGGAUGCGAGCGUUAUCCGGAUUGUUUGGGUUUAAAGGGUGCGUAGGCGGAAUAUCAAGUCAGCGGUAAAUAUUCGGGGCACAACCCCGUCGUGCCGUUGAACCUGGUGUACUUGAGUGAGCGAGAAGUAUGAGGAAUGCGUGGUGUAGCGGUGAAAGUCA